UCUUGAGACAUCAUCAAAAGCAUUGUCUUUCCAAGAUGGUUUCGCAGCCAUCUCUUUAUCUUUGUUGUAUAAACGUUCAGGUGCCCAACAGACAUUUUGCUGCUGCUACGAAGCCUGCAAAGAAAACAAAAAGUGCUAAAGACAAAGCACCAGCUGAAAAAAAAGAUGAUAUAGAGACAAUAAAGUCAUACUCGUACAUGGAAGGUGAACCUGAGGAUGAUGUCUAUUUAAAAUGAUUAUACCGGCCGGGCGUGGUGGCUCACGCCUGUAAUUCUAGCACUCUGGGAGGCUGAGGCAGGCGGAUUGCUCAAGGUCAGCAGUUCAAAACCAGCCUGAGCGAGACCCCGUCUCUACUAUAAAAAAAUAGAAAGAAAUUAAUUGGCCAACUAACAUAUAUAUAUAAAAAAUUAGCCGGGCAUGGUGGUGCAUGCCUGUAGUCCCAGCUACUCGGGAGGCUGAGGCAGGAGGAUUGCUUGAGCCCAGGAGUUUGAGGUUGCUGUGAGCGAGGCUGAUGCCACGGCACUCACUCUAGCCUGGGCAACAAAGUGAGACUCUGUCUCAAAAAAAUAAAAUAAAAUUAAAUAAAUAAAUAAAAUGGUUAUACCCAAGGCAGAUAUAUGACGUGGAGAAAGCUAUUCACCUACUUAAGAAAUUUCAAAUUCUUGACUUCACUAAUCCAAAGCAAGAUGUUUUUCUUGUUUUGACACUGGAUAUGGCACUGGGAAAGAAGAAAAAAGUGGAGCCAUUUGCCAUUGUUCUUAGGUUACCAUACCCAUUCUCCUCAGAAAUCAAUAAAGUUGCUGUAUUUACAUGGAAUGCAUCAGAGGUUAAAAUUGCAGAAGAAAACGGAGCUGCUUUUGCAGGAGGAACUAAUCUGAUUCAGAAGAUUUUGGAUGAUGAAAUUCAUGUAGACUUUUAUGUAGCUAUUCCAGAAAUAAUGCCUGAGCUUAAUCCAUUGAAGAAGAAACUGAAAAAAAAGAUUUCCAAAGCAAACUCGAAAUUCCAUUGGCCAUGA
rnacentral:lncRNA from 1 species